CGUGUCAUCUCUAACCCAAAAUUCGAAUUGAGCAUCAGCCUCAGCUGGCAAUAUAAAAUUGAAAAAUUGGAUUUUCUUUCAACAGCUGCUCUUAUUAAAUUACAUAUAUUCUCGGUUUAAGAUGACACUACUCUUAUAUCAACUAGCUAGUGGGAUCUAUCUGUCAAAGAAUAUCUUAACCAACAUAAUCCGAAAUGAAUAAAGCUACCACGACAAGGGGAAAUUGAAAACGAACAGUUUGGUGUGUAACAUAUCCCCGAAAACUAUUUUUCCUAAACACAUCAUCCCGAAUGUUUUAUCCCCGAAUGUACCGUUUUUCCGAAUGUAACAUUCCCUCAAAUUUAAUUGUUUUUCGAAAUCCCCCCACCCCCGCAGAAAUCACCUUGUGCAGACAAUAUGUAAAAGAGAUAAGUUACUGCUUUCCGAAAUUUCAAUUUAUACGCUACCUCUUUCAAAAGUGUACUCAAUUUUAAAGUGAACACAGUUAAUAGAAGACAUUUGUCAUUUUACGCUACAAAAUUGAUCAAUAUUAUCAAUACAUAAAGAAUAUCGAUAUUCUCGAUUAAUAUCGACAACUUUCCUCCCCUAUCGUAAAAAGUAAAUAAAUAAUCUUUGAACAGUGAAAAGUGAAAAAUCCUCAGCAGUAAAUCUAUGCCUACAUAAUUGUAACAAUCUAACGUUAUGAAUUAUUAGUAAUAAGUAUUGCCAAAAAUCAGUUUAUGCUGGUUCUAUCUAAAGUGGCAAUUAUUGAAAACUUUAUAGAAAAACAAAAAACUCACAAGAAACGACAAGCAGGUGUGAAGGCUGACAGGAAAAAGAGAAAAACAAAAUCAUCUGAAAAAAAACUGAGAAUGUUAGAGCAUUUGCAAUCACAAAAGCAAACGAUUUCAACAUAAGGAAGAUAUUUUUUAACUGAAAAACAGCUUAUUCCCCGAUAGAUAAAACACCGGAAGAACCUGCUCUGUUUUGAACGCCGUCGUUAGGCCUCGUUGAAAAAUUUGAUAAAGAAAUCACAAAAUUAGGUGUAAGUGUAAAACACCAAAAUCAGGUGUAACCUUCAGGGCUUCUGACCUCUUUGAGCUUUGCUACCAGAAGUGAUAUGAAUAGUAAUUUUCACCGAUGUGAGAAUGUGUACAUACGAUUUUGUCAAUCAUCAUUAUAUUUCAAGCUGAUGUAUAAAGAAUCAUUAUUACUGAAUUUCCAAAAGUUAUAGGUUUUUCUGGUCAAAAGGUUUCCUACAGACGUUCUUAUGACAUUCUGAGUAAAACUAGUUUUGAAAGCAUAUUGCUGUGCACAAAACUGCGUUUUUAACUCUUGUACUAUAGCUGUAAAUUGGUUGUUCAAACUUAUGAUUGUCAUCAAGACACCGUACAUUUUUUUGUUACACCUCACAUAUUUUACAAUAAAACCUGGUCGGAAAUCAAUGUUAUCAAUACGGCAAUGCUUCACUGUGGUUAAUCUAUCGGGCAAGUCAAACAAUAUGCUUUUAAAUUCAAGAUACUCUUUUGAAAUUUGUUCUUCGCUUAGAAUAUGAAUUUUACCUAGUGUGUAAUCAUGUUUUAAAAUAUCAUAAUUCUGUUUUAGAUUCAUUCUCUUCAUAAGACUACAGGUAAUGUUUUUGAAAUUUAUACAGUUUCUGGUUAUGCUUUUAGAAGCUUUGAACUUGGCUUCGAAUGCCAAACAGCUUCCAAAACAUAUUGGCUGAUUUUUCUGAAGUAUCAUCGGGUAGUGACUAAUAUGGCGAAGUUUAUUUAUUGGACGUAGAUUAGUGAAACAUCUUUUAAAACAACUGUGUAGAUCAGAUAUACAAAACUUCAAAUCCUCUAACGUAUCAGAAGAAACUUUACUAGAAAAUGAUAUGAAUGUAAGUUCGAGUAAAUUUUUUAUUAUAGCCGCGAAGUCUGCAUUACGGUCAAGAAUAUCAUUAAAAACGAAUGGGAAAAUUCUCAAUAACAGCCAUGUCUGCGAAGCUGAUUGACUCAAAGCAUUACCUUUUGUUUUUAAUAACUUUGACGAUAAAUUACUGGAUGGUUUAUCGCGAAUUUCAAUUGCACCAUAAUCAAAAUUAUCGAUUCUUGAAUUAAUUUCAUCACAAGUUAAUAAUUUUUGUUCAUUUACAGAAAUGUUCAAUAUAUGUUUGAUCAUCAUGGGAGCUAUGCCCUCUAAUAUAUCAUGCAUUGGAUCGAAACACCAAUUGUCCGCCAUAUUAAAAUGUACUAAAGAGUUUAAUAUGCACCGAUUGGCAACACCACUAUCGGAGGGCAUUUGGAUUUUUUGUUCAACAGCUGCUAAAUCUCUAGCCAUACUUGCAGCAGUUCUUUCUGGAAACGUUGCCCCGAAAUUACCCUCCAUUAUAUCGCCCCGUGAAAUGUAGCAUUGCCUGCAGAAAUACGAUGCUUGAGGACCUAGUAACUGAAAAAAAUCAUGCACAGCCAGCGUAUCACCAACUACAUUGCAUAAAACUGCUCUCAAUGUGAAUGUUUGUCCAUUUAUGAUUAGCGGUAUUCCUUCAUCGGAUUCCAAUCUUUUCAAAUCUCGUAAUAACGGUUUUAGAACCUUCUCAUAGCCAUAUUUUUUCAAAAGGACGGAUCGAACCAUGAGAAUCGUAUAAAUGCUACGCGGUGAUGAAUUCACAACCGGAUGAAGGUUUUGAAUUUUAAUGCUAAUGUUGGUGAUUUUCUUUUUUCCUUUCCUGGAUCCCAAAGGGUUGAGAUAUUCAACGUCAUCAACGUGUAGUGAUAGGCGCAGAGCAUUCGGGUAUCGUUGAAAAUAAGAAUGGUUUUUGAACUGCCACCCAUCCUUGAAGGAACAUGUGCCAUCAUUUCGCGGUUCUUCAGUAUUGACCAUCUUUCUCGCAUCACCAUUGUUCAUUAUUAAUCGAAAUUUUGGUAGCGGGCUCUUCGUUUCGAACCUAGACAAACUAGUUUCUUUAUUUUGCGCUUCGAAAGUAACACUUCCUCAGUAACUGGCAUUGCGCAUUUACUUUGCAUAGCGAGCUGAUCUAUAGUGUCGUUAAACGAUCUUAUGGCCCCAAAAAUUUCUGGUAUUUCCAGCUCAUUAAAUAAUUUUACCACCGAUGAAUCAUUGAAUUGAAUAUUGGAUCUUGAAAAAAAUCUUUUCACAACCGUUAACGUAUAUUACUGACUCAAUUCCAAUCCAGCAGCACAGCCGUCCAUGAAAUGUUGAAUUUUAUUCUCUGGCAAAGAGUCAUCGCAACGCAUGCGUGUGACACGGUCUAUCUUUUCAGUGGUUAGCUCUUUUAUACCAACAGAUUUUUCGUAAUAUCGUUUUUUUAUUACAUUCGCAUAUCCCAUUUCAUUAUCAAGAUUUUUAUCAUCAUUCUCUAAAAUGGGAUUGGGAAUGGUUUCAGGAGGUGAAUAGAUAAUUGGAUGACGUUUUAUUAGAUGUUCCUGGAGAUGAUAAAAGCUGGCGUAGACUGCAUUGCACAUGCUGCAUUUAAGCGGUGGCCAACACUUGCUGUGUGUUUUCAAGCCAUGUACUGACUUGCAAUGUUGUUUUAUCUCAUUUAUAUGGCCCUCGAUGAUCUGAUCACAUCCGUCAACGGAACAUACAAAUCGUUGAGAAUCUGGUAAUUCAAUAAAGUUCUCGAUAUAGAUAAGUUCUUAACUAUGGUCAGGCCCGGAUUUGAGGAGGGCCUAGUUGCAAAUGCCCCGGGCCUCCCGACUGGAGGGCCCCCCUUAGACGAAGUGAAGACCUCUUAUUUGGCUCGUCACCUUACAGCGGUGCGAAGGUGUAGCACAAUUUUUCGUCGAAUUUGCCCCGGGUCCCCUAACGCCCAAAUUCGGCCCUGACUAUGGUCUCUGUUUAAUUAAAUUUAAUUUAGGUUUAAUUUCAGAAUAAAAAUUAUUGCGUCAGCUAAAAAAUCCAAGUUUAAUGAUAUUUAAUUUAGGUGUAGUUUAAGAAUAAAAAUUAUUGCGUUAGCUAAAAAAUGUUCGUUGAAACUAUAAUUUCUAAGUAUUUCAAGAGAUUGUGGGAUAACAAUAUCUGUUAAAUCUAAGCGUAUCACUAACCUUUUAUUUUUUCAAAUGUUUCGGAAUCCAAAAUACGUUUUAGCUGAUCCAUGGUUCUGGAAGAAUGAAAAAAAAAAAACAUAUAUAUCCUAUAAACAGUUAGUCAAGCCUAAGGCAAUCGAAAAUAUAUAUUUUUCAAUUAAAGUUUAAUAAAUACCUUUAUUUUUCCGUUAA